GACGAACGCUGGCGGCGUGCUUAACACAUGCAAGUCGAACGGAAAGGCCCUGCUUUUGUGGGGUGCUCGAGUGGCGAACGGGUGAGUAACACGUGAGUAACCUGCCCCUGACUUUGGGAUAACUUCAGGAAACUGGGGCUAAUACCGGAUAGGAGCUCCUGCUGCAUGUUGGGGGUUGGAAAGUUUCGGCGGUUGGGGAUGGAUUCGAGGCUUAUCAGCUGGUUGGUGGGGUAGUGGCUUACCAAGGCUUUGACGGGUAGCCGGCCUGAGAGGGUGACCGGCCACAAUGGGACUGAGAUACGGAGCAGAAGCCAACGGGAGGCAGCAGUGGAGAAUAUUGCACAGUGGGCGGAAGCCUGAUGCAGCGACGCCGCGUGCGGGAUGACGGGCUUCGAGUUGUAAACAGCUUUCGACUGUGACAAAGAGUGAGUGACGGUAAUGGGUAAAGAAGCAACGGCUAACUACGUG
rnacentral:rRNA from 1 species